AUUUUGGGUGGGACUAAGCAAAGACGAAACACCCUCCCAGUCUAUGGGGUAGUCUGGACCCUGGCUUAUCUGGUUCCCUUAAUCCUUUAGGUACUUACACGACGUUGGGUGAGGGGAGCUGGAAGAUCAGCGGGUCCCCGAUCCUCUCUCCCUAGGGGUGAUAGAAAUCAACCCCCCCCGCCACCUCCAGGUGGUUCUUCCCGCCGCAGAGUGGGAGCAGCAUAAAAGGCGGGGUCUUAUUAGCAUAAUCUGCCUGGCAACCUGAUCUCGACGUUAUAUGAUUGGUUAAACUCUGUAAGCCCCAUGCCGUGCCUAGAGACGAGAAACGCUGGGGCGAACUGACAGGCCCAGAUUUAGGAGUCAUGACGAAGAUCCUGAGACGCUUAUUCAGUCUGCAGAGAAGCCAAAAGGAGAUUCACAUAAUGGCCCAAUGACUGAAGGCCUCUUUAUUUCGUGCUCUGCUGUUCGUGUAAAACCCAAUCGCAGAGCGGGUCUCAGGCGGCGCUCGCCUGCGUUUCUACUCUCAGCCAAUCAGAAAACCCGACUCUUCGCAUUGGGGUCAAGCCCCCGCUGCGGCCCGCGUGCUAACGGGGAGGAAGCUUCCAGCUGUGCCUGGGUGUCUCGGGCGCCGAGGGCAGCCUGCGCCCGUGCUAAGCCCGCCUCCCGCGCGCCCGAGGGCCCGGUGUCCCGGAAGACGCGCGGGGGUGAGGCGGCCCUCGCGUCCGCCCGCCCCGCCACAGAUUGCCUCCGAAGUGGCCUGGCCGUGGAGCGCCGGCGAAAACCGAACUCCCGCCCGGCUCCCGGAGUCGGGAGCCUGCCGGGGUCUCGCCCUCAGGACCCCCAGGGAGCGGCCGGGCGCCGCCUAUCACCCUGACCCACCGCACCUUGAGAGCGCUUUCACUGCGCCUCUUUUUUCUCCUCUACCAAUCUGGAAAGGAAGUGAGUGUCAUUUCAGACAUUGAGAAACAUUAUUCAACACUGGUUACCCAGUGACUCAGCUCACUCCUUAACCGCAGGCUUCCACAUCCUGCUGUCCCUUAAAAUUGCCUUCACAAAGGGCAGCCAAGAGCCCAGCUUUGGAGAGAUACCCAGCUCCAACUACCCACUGGCAGGCAAUACGCAGGGCAGCUAGAUGGCAGAGAGACCUUGGACCUUCGGACCUUCGGGGAGCGGUUUUCCCUUCGGUGAUAUCUACCUUGCUAUGUUCGUGAUAUCUACCUUGCUACGUUAUUUUGAAGAUUAAGUGAGCUCUUACUUUACCGAGUAAAGUGCUUUGCUUAGCACACUGUCUGGAACUUAAAUGAGAAGUACUGACAAUAUAACUUACAAAAAUCCUAAACUAUUGCCUGAGAAAAAGAGGGAGACAGGACAGCUAAGCAAAAGACGAGAAUAGAAAACACCCACAGCGUGAAAAACUGUAAAAUUAACUCAAUAGUAUUCUCUUUACUGUUUUUUGUUUUGUUUUGUUGUUUUGUUUUUUGAUACGGAGUCUCGCUCUGUUGCCCAGGCUGGAGUGCAGUGGUGAGAUCUGGGCUCAUUGCAACCUCUGCCUCCCGGGUUCAAGCGAUUCUCCUGCCUCAGCCUCUCUAGUAGCUGAGAUUACAGGCAUGCACCACCACGCCCGGCUAAUUUUUGUAUUUUCAGUAGAGAUGGGGUUUCCCCAUGUUGGCCAGGCUGGUCUCAAACUCUAACGUCAAGUGAUUCUCCCGCCUUGGCCUUCCAAAUUGCUGGGAUUACAGAUGUGAGCCACUGCGUCUAGUCUACCAUUUUGUUUCUUUAAAUAGCUGGAAACAACGUGGAAAGAAAAGAGAGCUUUUUUUUUUUUUUAAACUUCGUGACAGGGUGCGGUGGCUCACGCCUGUAAUCCCAGAAUUUUGGGAGGCCGAGGCGGGUGGAUCGCUUGAGCACAGGCGUUCGAGACCAGCCUGGGCAACAUAGUGAGACUCUGUACAAAAAACAAAAAGAUUAGCCAGGCAUGGCAGUACACAUCUGUGGUUCCAGUUACCGGCAGGCUGUGCAGGAGGGUUACUUGAGCCCAGGAAGUCAAGGCUGCAGUGAGCUGUGAUCGUGCCACUGCACUACAACCUGGGUGAUAGAGCAAGUCUCUGUCUUUAAAAAAACAAAACAACAACAAGAAGAAACUUCAGACAGUUAACUGCUUUGUAAACAACUUCACAUCUAGGCCGUGUCUUGUUCUUCCUUAAACCACUGUACAGGUGGCACUGGACUUAGAUGAGGCCGACCUUAACAUAGCUAGUGAGAGACACUAGUAGCCCUACUCUGGCAACACAGACAUGGAAAUCAGUUGCCUAAGGAAAGAUCAUAUUGGCUAAGAGAGUCCCUUGAAUGCUCCCUUUUAGUGUUACGAGUAGAUGAACAAUGCCGCAGGUUGGACAGGUCCUUCUGUGUCCUUGCAAAAGCUGCCACUCCACAUACCCCUGGCCUCAGUAAGAACGGCUCACUUUUAGAUUUAACAUCAUUACAUCCUUGCUGAUGAACUGAGAUGGUCCCAACUGAGGUCCACUGACCAGAAACAACACCACAGAACCCAAAAGAGAACGCACCAUGGGGAAUGGGGCUAUUCAAACUGAAGAGCCUGAGUUACUCUCAUGGCUUUAGAGAAAUGUUCUAAAACUUCUAAGUACAUAAAUAUGUGCAGGGAGAUUCCUCCCCACAGAGUUUUUAUUCAGAGGGUCUGGAGUGAACCUCAGGAAUUUGCUUUUUAUGUGGAUUUUUAAAUGAUUUUUAAAGUUUACACUGUAAAAUUCACUCACUGGGGUAUACAAGAAGUAUUUAUUGAAUAUGUACUGUGUGCCAUUCAUUUUUCUAAACAAUAAAGAUAGAAUAGGGAACAACAGCAACC